rnacentral:rRNA from 4 species
UUGACCUCGGAUCAGUAGGA